CUAAGAUCCUUCCCUAAGCCUGCAUCUGGACCCCCCCCCCGUCUGCGGCCCUGGCCCUCAUCGUUGGCCUUGCCCCACCUCUUCGGCCGUAACUGGUUUCCUUGCUUCCCCAAGGUCUCCAGCCCACCUCACAGCUCCCUGAUCCCCUCAGGCCCCUUUUCCUCCCCACCUUCCGAUCCUCCCAUUCUUUUCUUUAGGCCGUUGCCCGCCACCGGCCUUGGGCCCUUCCUUCUGCGUCCCCAAACGCCCCCACCACAUUCCCGGCGUCCGGGACGUGAUCCUCGCGACCCAGGUACCAGCCAGUCGGUUCGGACUCAUAGCGACCUUAUGCACGACAGAACAAAACACUGCCGGGUCCUGUGCCAUAUAGUGGUGUAUUAAAACUGCCAGUAGAGUUUGGUUCUGUGACUUCAAAACCAAAUAAGAUUUUUUAAAAAAAAGCUUUGCUAUCUAAGGAGUUUUUAAGUAUUGUAUUUGAAACUUUUAAAACCCAGUUUAGAAAUACUAAAGAUUUCAGUGUUGGGACUUUGGAAGUGACAUGUUUAUUUUGCAUAUUUUAGAAUUUCAGAUUUGUGUAGUUCUAGGGCCAAGAUUAAUUGGGAGAAAUGAAAGAAAAAAAAAGUAUUAAAAUGCUGUUUGAUUCUCUUUGGAGCUUUGCUUGCUUACAUUGAGAUUUGAUAUAAAUAUUUGAAUAUACAUAACUUUAACCUGCAUAAGUUGUGUGGUGUGAUUUUUCUUUCUGUCUGUUUGGUUCAUCCUGUAUCUAUGAGUCAGAAUUGACUCGAUGGCAAUUAGCUUUUGAUAUAAGUGCUAAAUUCCAUUCUGAUUGUGUUCAAUUUCAGCGUAAAGGUAGCCCUUUCCCUAUAGUGACCCAACCCAAAAACCCACUGUAGUGGUACAAUUUUAUUCAAAUAUUCAGAAUAGUGUAUAGGUAAUAUGUUUAGGAAGACUAAAGGAAACACUGGAUGUGACGAUAUUGCAUAUGUGAUGAUUGACUGUGAAGUUUCCUUGAAUAAACUUUAUUUUUAAACUUAUUGUAGUAAAGGAAAAACACACAUUUGUUUUUUUUCUAUAAACCGGAUGUAAGAAAUACUAUUGCUCUGAAGCUAUCUGUAGUCAGUGCUGAACUUUAUAAGGAUUAUCUACCAACUUGGGUUUUAAUGAAUCAAAACGUUGCUUAGAUGAUUGGUUAUUCCCACAGAGUUAUAAUAUUGAUACAGAUAUUUCUGAGAAUGGUGAAUAUUAUAGAAAAUAUAUAUAGAAACAGUAAAAGGCCUCUAGUAAUUUCGCAUCAUUAAGGUAUUUUUACAAACGUUACUGUAAAGACAUAUUUGUAGUACACUCUAGCCAUCCACUUAACAGCCAGGUCUUCGGACUAAAGUGCAGUGUUUUUUAAAUUAUAGACAUUUAAGGAUUAAAAAAAAAAAAAAAGGAUUAGUCGAAAUGGUGUGCAUUUGAAGUCAAGUAUAUUGAAGAUUUUUCCAUAUAUUUUCAGUACAGAUAUUUAUUAAAUACAUCUUUUUAAGUUUUAAUUAUUUAGGUGCCAGUAACAUGAUUUUGUCCCUUGUGAGUGUUAAAAUACUUUAUGUCUGAAAUCUUGAUGAUGAGGGGUGAUUAACAUUAUGGAGUACCUGACAGGUGCAUCGUGCUUGUGCAUUGUGCUAACCAAAAGGUUGGAGAUUUGAAUCCACCCAGAAAUGCCUGGCAAGAAAGUCCUGGUGAUCUGCUUCUGAAAAAUCAGCUACUGAAAGCUCUAUAGAGUACAGCUCAACUCGGCCAACUUGGGGUCACCAGAAAUCAGAAGUGACUCCACAGCAGCUGGUUAACAUGUGCAAAGCACUCUACCUGUACUACGGGGAAGGGAAAAAAUGCUGCCCAAAGGAAAACAUUUGUGUUCUCCCUGUGGUAGAAUCCAAAGAGAAUUAGACCUACUAAUCACGAGAUCUGGGUUUUAGUCAUGCAUGAUUCUUUGUUGUGAAUUAUCUGAAAUCGUGGGCAAGUUACUUGUUUCAGGAUUAUGUUUUUACUUCUUAGAGACUUGUACAAAAGAUCUUAUUUCCCUAAAAUUUCAAGAUAAUUACAUAGUCCAUUAAUGC